rnacentral:rRNA from 1 species
AUUGAACGCUGGCGGCAUGCCUUACACAUGCAAGUCGAGCGGCAGCACGGGUGCUUGCCCCUGGUGGCGAGUGGCGAACGGGUGAGUAAUACAUCGGAACAUGUCCUGUAGUGGGGGAUAGCCCGGCGAAAGCCGGAUUAAUACCGCAUACGAUCUACGGAUGAAAGCGGGGGACCUUCGGGCCUCGCGCUAUAGGGUUGGCCGAUGGCUGAUUAGCUAGUUGGUGGGGUAAAGGCCUACCAAGGCGACGAUCAGUAGAUGGUCUGAGAGGACGACCAGCCACACUGGGACUGAGGCACGGCCCAGACUCCUACGGGAGGCAGCAGUGGGGAAUUUUGGACAAUGGGCGAAAGCCUGAUCCAGCAAUGCCGCGUGUGUGAAGAAGGCCUUCGGGUUGUAAAGCACUUUUGUCCGGAAAGAAAUCCUUGGCUCUAAUACAGUCGGGGGAUGACGGUACCGGAAGAAUAAGCACCGGCUAACUACGUG